rfam:Ictidomys tridecemlineatus contig099795, whole genome shotgun sequence.
GUGGUUGUGGCUCAGCAGUAGAGCACUUGCCUUGCAUGUGCAGGGCCCUGGGUUCGAUCCUCAGCACCACA